rfam:Pan troglodytes isolate Yerkes chimp pedigree #C0471 (Clint) chromosome X, whole genome shotgun sequence.
GUGUGUGGUGUCCUACCCAGGAGAGUGGCAAUCACAUAUAAUUAGGUGUGAUUGAAACCUCUAAGAGUGUAGUACACAUGA